GAAGUUCCUCAAGCAGUUACGUUUUAUUUAUACAUUUUAUGCCAGGUUAUUGGUAAGGAAAAAUCUUGAAGGGAUUUCUCCGGUAUAAAGAAAUGAGGAAAGUCCGGGCUCCAUAGGGCUGGUUGCUUCGUAAUGCGAAGUGCACGUAAGUGUGAGGAAAGUGCCACAGAAAUGAAGACCGCCCCGUGAGAUAAUUUCAUAUCUCACGGGGUAAGGGUGCAACGGUGAGGUAAGAGCUCACCAGAUUUUGCGGUGACGCAAGAACUAGGUAAACCCCGCUGAAGGUGCAAGGAUAAGGUAUAGGAUUGAAUCACAGUGGCCCGCUGCUCAAUUCUGCCAAAGCCGCUUGAGGGUAUUGGUGACAAUACUCCCAGAUAGAUAACUGCAUAAACAAAACCCGGCUUAUGAGGAACUUCAUUC
rnacentral:RNase_P_RNA from 1 species